rnacentral:RNase_P_RNA from 1 species
GAGAGGAGGUGCGGUGGUUGCAGAAAGAUAGCUCAGGCGAUCUUUUUGAGGAAAGUCCGGACUCCCCAAAGACCAAACUUGCUGGGUAACUCCCAGUGUAGGUGACUGCGAGGAUAGUGCCACAGAAAAAUACCGCCAAUUUUAAAAGAAUGAAGGAAGAAGGACAAAGAAUGAAGGAUCAUUAAUUCCUCGUUCCUUACUCCUCAAUUCUCAUUCCUUAGUUUGGUAAGGGUGCAAAGGUGUCGGUAAGAGCGCACCAGCAACAUCGAGAGGUGUUGGCUUGGUAAACCCCAGUUGGGAGCAAGGUCGAAGAGAUUAUGGUUGGUCUUUUUCCAAUCUCGCUUUAGGUGAACCGCUUGAGAUGUUUGGUAACAGCCAUCCCAGAUAGAUAACCGCCCUAGAAAGGCUAUGUAGUCUCUUCUAGAACAGAAUCCGGCUUACAACUCUCUCUCUCUA